AAAGUCGUAACAAGGUUUCCGUAGGUGAACCUGCGGAAGGAUCAUUAUUGAAUUUAAUGUAGAGUUGGUUGUAGCUGGCCCUUGGAUUAAUUUCCUUGGGGGCAUGUGCACACCUUCUCUUUCAUCCACACACACCUGUGAACCUGUGAGAUAGUAGUUGGGGACUUUAAUGGACCCACUUCUGUCUACUUAAUUCAUAUAAAAUCAAUUUAAUUUAAAACGAAUGUAAUGGAUGUAACGCAUCUAAUACUAAGUUUCAACAACGGAUCUCUUGGCUCUC
rnacentral:misc_RNA from 1 species